rnacentral:misc_RNA from 1 species
GAUGAAGAACGUAGCGAAAUGCGAUAAGUAAUGUGAAUUGCAGAAUUCAGUGAAUCAUCGAAUCUUUGAACGCACAUUGCGCCCGCCAGCACUCCGGCGGGCAUGCCUGUUCGAGCGUCAUUUCAACCAUCAAGCCCCCAGGGGCUUGUGCUGGGGCCCUGCGGCUGCCCGCAGGCCCUGAAAACCAGUGGCGGGCUCGCUAGUCACACCGAGCGCAGUAGCACAUCUCGCUCAGGGCGUGCGGCGGGCUCCUGCCGUGAAACCCCCCACUGUAACCCCAAAGGUUGACCUCGGAUCAGGUAGGAAUACCCGCUGAACUUAAGCAUAUCAAUAAGCGGAGGA